CCAAUAGCGUAUAUUAAAGUUGUUGCGGUUAAAAAGCUCGUAGUUGGAUUUCUGUUUAGUGUGACCGGUCCGCCUUUUGGUUUGGUAUCAGGAUCGCACUGAACAUUCUCUUGGGAGACAUGGCUGCGCCUAGUUGUGUGGCCUGUUACCUGAGUCUUUUACUUUGAGGAAAUUAGAGUGUUUCAAGCAGGCAGCUGCCUUGAAUACAUUAGCAUGGAAUAAUACGAUAGGACUUUGGUUCUGUUUUGUUGGUUUCUGGAACUAAGGUAAUGAUUAAUAGGGAUAGUCGGGGGCAUUCGUACUUAACUGUCAGAGGUGAAAUUCUUGGAUUUGUUAAAGACGAACUAAUGCGAAAGCAUUUGCCAAGGAUGUUUUCAUUGA
rnacentral:rRNA from 1 species